UACGAAGGGGGCUAGCGUUGCUCGGAAUGACUGGGCGUAAAGGGCGCGUAGGCGGGAUGGCAAGUCGGUCGUGAAAUCCUUCGGCUCAACCGAAGAACGUCGGCCGAUACUGCCGUUCUUGAGGGAUGCAGAGGAGAUUGGAAUUCCCGGUGUAGCGGUGAAAUGCGUAGAGAUCAUGAGGAAGACCAGUGGCGAAGGCGGGUCUCUGGGCCGAUACUGACGCUGAGGAGCGAAAGCAUGGGUAGCGAACAGG
rnacentral:rRNA from 1 species